UAAAUAUUCAUGCAUCGUGACUCUCAAUUUGUAACAGCGAUAAUUUUAUAAGCAGCGAAUGUUUGAAAGUUAGCGAAGCGCUGAUACGUAUCCGUCCGACUCAGUUCGGUAAUGUGUGACGAUCGUUUGUUUACUUUAUCAGUUGUUGCAAUUUCAACGAGGUGUGAUGCUCGUUUUACGACUACAAAACUCAAAUUCUCUCGUUGUGCUGGGACUCGUUAUUUUGAGUCUUAUAUUUAUGAUUCAGAUUAAACAAAUAUACAACAACAAUCAGAAAUAUAACAGAUACAUGACGUACAAGCAAUAUAUGAACGAAAUAGCGACAGAGUUGAAGGCGGUAGUGAAGUCUGUAAAUAAAUCAUCUGCAUAUGUUCGUCAAUUGAACGAGAUGCUCUCAAAAUAUCGGGAAAGAACGUUGAAGAAUAUCUCAAUGUCGAAAACUGCCUCAAUAUCGUAAAUAUUUUAAGCUACUGGGGGGAAAACUCAAAUUGAAGGUAGUAAUUACCUGGAAAGUCGGAGAUAGAUAGAAGUCUUGAUCGAUAGGGAAUGGCAUCCUAUAGUUGAUAUUAUGUAUAAGCUUGUGGCGUU